ACGAACGCUGGCGGCAUGCCUAACACAUGCAAGUCGAACGAAGGCUUCGGCCUUAGUGGCGCACGGGUGCGUAACGCGUGGGAAUCUGCCCUUUGCUUCGGAAUAACAGUUAGAAAUGACUGCUAAUACCGGAUGAUGUCGCAAGGCCAAAGAUUUAUCGGCAAAGGAUGAGCCCGCGUAGGAUUAGCUAGUUGGUGGGGUAAAGGCCUACCAAGGCGACGAUCCUUAGCUGGUCUGAGAGGAUGAUCAGCCACACUGGGACUGAGACACGGCCCAGACUCCUACGGGAGGCAGCAGUGGGGAAUAUUGGACAAUGGGCGAAAGCCUGAUCCAGCAAUGCCGCGUGAGUGAUGAAGGCCUUAGGGUUGUAAAGCUCUUUUACCCGGGAUGAUAAUGACAGUACCGGGAGAAUAAGCUCCGGCUAACUCCGUG
rnacentral:rRNA from 1 species